AGGUGUGGCUCAGUUUGGUAGAGCGCUGCGUUCGGGACGCAGAGGUCGCAGGUUCAAUUCCUGUCACCU
rnacentral:tRNA from 1 species